rnacentral:rRNA from 1 species
UGGGGAAUAUUGGACAAUGGGCGCAAGCCUGAUCCAGCCAUGCCGCGUGAGUGAUGAAGGCCUUAGGGUUGUAAAGCUCUUUCAGUGGGGAAGAUAAUGACGGUACCCACAGAAGAAGCCCCGGCUAACUUCGUGCCAGCAGCCGCGGUAAUACGAAGGGGGCCAGCGUUGUUCGGAUUUACUGGGCGUAAAGCGCACGUAGGCGGAUCGUUAAGUCAGGGGUGAAAUCCCAGAGCUCAACUCUGGAACUGCCUUUGAUACUGGCGAUCUCGAGUCCGGAAGAGGUGAGUGGAACUCCUAGUGUAGAGGUGGAAUUCGUAGAUAUUAGGAAGAACACCAGUGGCGAAGGCGGCUCACUGGUCCGGAACUGACGCUGAGGUGCGAAAGCGUGGGGAGCAAAACAGGAUUAGAUACCCCUGGUAGUCCACGCCGUAAACCUAUGAGAGCUAGCCGUUGGAUGGUUUAUCUUCAGUGGCGCAGCUAACGCAUUAAGCUCUCCGCCU